UACGUAGGGCGCAAGCGUUGUCCGGAAUUAUUGGGCGUAAAGAGCUCGUAGGCGGUUUGUCGCGUCUGUCGUGAAAGCUUGGGGCUUAACCCCAAGUCUGCGGUGGAUACGGGCAGACUAGAGGCAGGUAGGGGAGAACGGAAUUCCCGGUGUAGCGGUGAAAUGCGCAGGUAUCGGGAGGAACACCGGUGGCGAAGGCGGUUCUCUGGGCCUGUACUGACGCUGAGGAGCGAAAGCGUGGGGAGCGAACAGG
rnacentral:rRNA from 1 species